UACGUAGGGUGCAAGCGUUAAUCGGAAUUACUGGGCGUAAAGCGUGCGCAGGCGGUUUUGUAAGUCUGACGUGAAAUCCCCGGGCUCAACCUGGGAAUUGCGUUGGAGACUGCAAGGCUAGAAUCUGGCAGAGGGGGGUAGAAUUCCACGUGUAGCAGUGAAAUGCGUAGAUAUGUGGAGGAACACCGAUGCGAAGGCAG
rnacentral:rRNA from 1 species